UAUGAAAAUCCACUUAGAAUGAAAUUAUAUAUAUCUAUGUAUAUGCCCUUAACGAACGUGUACGUACUAUGUACGUCCGACAAAAAAACGGUUGCUAAGGACCACGGACGUACCUAGUAAUACCGCGGCAAAUAAGAGCCCUGGACUUACCUGGACCAGCGAUCACAGUCAGGGGGGACUGCCGGAGACCCCAGCAGUCCCCCUGCAGCAUCUCUGGCCCUCUAGGACCAUGUGAUCACCAUGAUCACAUCGCCGCAAUAGGAGUCUAGGAGCUGCCAGCAGGG